rnacentral:rRNA from 1 species
GACGAACGCUGGCGGCGUGCUUAACACAUGCAAGUCGAACGAAGUGGCGGACGGGUGAGUAAUACGUGGGUAACCUGCCCUCCUUUUUGGGAUCAGCCUUGGAAACGGGGUCUAAUACCGAUUAAUGGGGGAUGGGCGCGUGGCCUAUCAGCUUGUUGGUGGGGUGAUGGCCUACCAAGGCGGUGACGGGUAGCCGGCCUGAGAGGGUAAACGGGCACAUUGGGACGGAGAUACGGCCCAGAGUCCUACGGGAGGCGGCAGAGGGGGAUAUUGCACAAUGGGUGAAGGACUGAUGCAGCGACGCCGCAUAGGGGAUGAGGGCUUUCGGGUUGUAAACGUCUUGCGCAAGCGAACGGGUAGGUGGAGAAGAAGCACCGGCUAACUACGUGCCAGCAGCCGCGGUAAUAC